UAUGCAAAAGAUGUAUAGAAACACACACUAAAAAAUCAGUAUGGAAGUAAAGCUGAAGGAAGAGCUUAAAGCAGAAAUGUGUUCCUAUUGACAAGGCAACAAUUGAAUCAAACCAAACAGAGCAAAGAGUGGAGGAAAAUGGAAGAAGUCAUGGACAUAACAGAAAACAUAUGACC